CCUACGGGCGGCAGCAGUAGGGAAUCUUUCACAAUGGGCGAAAGCCUGAUGGAGCAACGCCGCGUGCAGGAUGAAGGCCUUCGGGUUGUAAACUGCUUUUAUAAGCGAGAAAUAUGAUGGUAACUUAUGAAUAAGGAUCGGCUAACUACGUGCCAGCAGCCGCGGUCAUACGUAGGAUCCGAGCAUUAUCCGGAGUGACUGGGUGUAAAGAGUUGCGUAGGUGGCAUAAUAAGUAGCUAGUGAAAUCUGGUGGCUCAACCAUUCAGACUAUUAGGUAAACUGUUAAGCUCGAGACCGUUAGGGGUAACUGGAAUUUCUAGUGUAGGAGUGAAAUGCGUAGAUAUUAGAAGGAACACCAAUAGCGUAGGCAGGUUACUGGGACGGUUCUGACACUAAGGCACGAAAGCGUAGGGAGCAAACGGGAUUAGAUACCCUGGUAGUC
rnacentral:rRNA from 1 species